GACAGACACAGCUAAUCAUUACUGGAAAAUUAAGCUGUGGCCCAAAGUUACGGUUGUAAUGAAACAGUAAGAUAUCUGUCUUCCUCCUAGAGUGAAAUUCAAAGGCACUGAGCAUUCAGGGAGAAGCAACACCUAAUGUGGAACAGCAAGGACCGUGACUCCAGAGUCAGACUGGAAGAGUAAAGGCCUGGCUCUAGGGCAUCUACUAAUGACUUCGAAGCUGACAAACG
rnacentral:lncRNA from 1 species